UACGGAGGGCGCGAGCGUUGUCCGGAAUCACUGGGCGUAAAGGGCGCGUAGGCGGCCCUGGUAAGUCUGCGGUGAAAGCCCGGGGCUCAACCCCGGGUCGGCCGCGGGUACUGCCGGGCUGGAGUGCCGUAGGGGCAGGCGGAAUUCCGGGUGUAGCGGUGGAAUGCGUAGAGAUCCGGAAGAACACCGGUGGCGAAGGCGGCCUGCUGGGCGGCGACUGACGCUGAGGCGCGACAGCGUGGGGAGCAAACAGG
rnacentral:rRNA from 2 species